CAAUUCUGAUUGUGCCAUUUACUCUACACAGAACGUGGAGCUUCUUAGCCUCAACCAUGCACAUUGAGGACAACAGACUCAACACGAAGCAUGGCCCUGCUCGGUGUGUAACCGGCCUUUCCGGAGAGAGACACCACGGCCACCAGAGACCUCGCCAGACGCCAUGCUAGAGACAGCAGAAACCCCUCCCAUUUGUGUUUCAUCGGA